rnacentral:rRNA from 1 species
UACGGAGGGGACUAGCGUUGUUCGGAAUUACUGGGCGUAAAGCGCGUGUAGGCGGUUUGUUAAGUCUGAUGUGAAGGCCCUGGGCUCAACCCAGGAAGUGCAUUGGAAACUGGCAGACUUGAAUACGGGAGAGGGUAGUGGAAUUCCUGGUGUAGGAGUGAAAUCCGUAGAUAUUAGGAGGAACACCGGUGGCGAAGGCGGCUACCUGGACCGAUAUUGACGCUGAGACGCGAAAGCGUGGGUAGCAAACAGG